GACGAACGCUGGCGGCGUGCUUAACACAUGCAAGUCGAACGGAAGGGCCCUGCUUUUGUGGGGUGCUCGAGUGGCGAACGGGUGAGUAACACGUGAGUAACCUGCCCUUGACUUUGGGAUAAAUUCAGGAAACUGGGGCUAAUACCGGAUAGGAGAUCCUGCUGCAUGGUGGGGGUUGGAAAGUUUCGGCGGUUGGGGAUGGACUCGCGGGUUAUCGGCUUGUUGGUGGGGUAGUGGCUGACCAAGGGUUUGACGGGUAGCCGGCAUGGGAGGGUGGCCGGGCACAUGGGGACUGCGGGACGCACCAGACGCCUACGGGAGGCAGCAGGCGGGAAUAUUGCACAACGGGCGGAAGCCUGAGGCAGCAACGCCGCGUGCGGGAUGACGGCUUUCGGGGUGUAAACCGCUGUCGCCUGUGACGAAGCGUGAGUGACGGUAAUGGGUAAAGAAGCACCGGCUAACUACGUG
rnacentral:rRNA from 1 species